AUUCACUAAGGAUAUAUCUUGAAGGCCCAGUUAAUUAUUCAGGGUACACCCUAAGAUCUCCCAGGGCUGCAAGCCUUUAAAAGAAGCAGGAUCUCCUUUUUCAGGGUUUUUGUGUCAACACAGCUCUAUGUCUUGCUGCACCAGGUGAAGCAGGUUAGCAGAGGUGCUGGGAGUUGAAGCAGUAUGUAUUUGUGGAGGCACAGUCACUCAGUGAUGCCCAGUGCUGCAGUAGCUUUGGAAAGAUUUGGAGCUUCAGAGGCUGCUGUUUCCCUGAGAUGAUUCAGAGAAAACAGUCCUGCUUACCACCAGGAUGGCUGAUUCUGUCACAGGCAAAAUUAAGGAAGGGGGUCAUGCUGUUCUCUGUCCUACACAGCUAUAUGCUUUAUUUUUCCAGGACUGACUUCACCUUCUUCUAUCUCGUUGCAGCACACUUUAUUAUUAUAGCCUUCAGAAGUUUACCUCUGGCAGGAGGUCUUCAGCUUUGCAUAAUUCUGUAUAUAACAGUUUUCAGAAUUUUCAGACAUAACAUUUCACUGAGUUUCCCACUGUACGUGCUUUUAACAUGCCUGAAUGAACACAAGCAUUUGACUUGAAAGUCCUAUUCUUAAAUAAUUAUUUACAGACAAAGAAGUAACACACCUUAUAUAUAUAUAUAAAAAUAUCAUUAAUAUAACUGAGAGUCUAAUCAUUGUCAAUCUAUAUUUAGUUGUUGCAGGAAAUAAUAAUAACAGUAACAAAUUAUGGAGUUAAAUUUGCUAUACACCCACUUCUUCAUUUCCUACUGCCUUUCUUGUCAUUAUGCUCAGAUUUCCUCUGCUUCUGUUCUCCUAAGGCUGGUAAUUUCAUACUGCUGAUCUUGGUGAGAUGAUUGUCCUUUACUGAGAGGAAUAAGAUGUUCUUUUCUUUUUUUUUUUUUUUUUUUUUCCUUCCUUUUUUUUUCUUUUUUCAUAUAGGAAUCACCUGUGGUCGUUUUUUUAUGUUUGUUGACAUACUUUUUCAAUUUAUUCUUUUUUCAUUGAUCUGCAAAUCUAUCUGAUAUCUGACUUUACCAUUUUUUGGUGCUGUGGUGGUUUUACUCAGGUGGGCAGCCAAGCUCCACCAGAGCUGCUUUCUUUCCUCAAAGGAAAAGGGAGAGAAAAUACAAAGCAAAGAGCUCAAGGGUUGAGAUAAGGAUAGGGAGAGUGCUCAACAAUUAUCGUGACAGGCAAAGCAGAUUCUAAUAGGGAGACAAGUAAGGUUUAUUGCCUAUUACUAACAAGCUAGAGAAGUGAGAAACAAAGGAAAGAAACCAAAAAUGCCUUC
rnacentral:lncRNA from 1 species